rnacentral:rRNA from 1 species
UUGAAAGGGAAACGAUUGAAGUCAGUCGUACCGACGGGAAUUCAACUUCUUGAGCGCUUGUCGUGGGUGAUGUAGAGCUUCACGGCCUUCGUUGCUUGCGUUAUGGUGCUUUUGGGGUGUACUUUUCCGUAUGGUAGGUAAAUAUCGAUUUUGGUCGUCAUAAAAUGAUCGGAGGAAUGUGGCUUCGAUCUCGUAUCGGAGUGUUAUAGCCUUUGGUAGGUGUGACCAUUGGGAUCGAGGAUUGCAACUAAUACCCUUUGGGCUAUCCGUCUGACCUCUGAAAGUCGCUCGGGUGUCGAAAGCGUGCUUAUGACAUUCUAGUUGGCGGUCAAAAGGUUAGAACGCGAUUACAUUCGUUAAGGAUGUUGACGUA